rnacentral:lncRNA from 1 species
UUUAUCUUAGAUAUGAGGCACAUUAGUAUUUGUUUCUUAUACAUGUAUAUUUAUAGAUUUGCAUUUUAAAUGAAAAUAAUUCUAGCAAAACCCCGCAACCACCAGACAUCUCAAGGCUUUGAUUCUAUAUGUAUUAUUACCUAUAUAAAUUACUACCAAGCAUAUUUGUAAAUGAAUAACAACCUAGAAGUAGAACUCCAUCCAGCAUGAAUUUACUUUUACUGGCAAAAGUGCUUUCAAUAUUUUGAAAAUAAAUUGAUAUAAGUCUGGAGACGUCCCAUUAAAUAUUUUAACUUGAAUCUCCAUUUUAAUAGUCCCAAUAUAGUUUAGAUGAGUCUUGAAAGGUGUAAACCAGUUGUUCAGAGGCUCACGGGUAUAAUAAAAAAUUCCGAGGCAUGUUUAUGUGUUAUAUAGUUUUAAAGGAGACAGUGAAUAAAAGCCUUCCUAUAUACAGACUGCCUCAUUUGUUCUCCACCAUUCAUUGAAAACAAGUACUACCUGUAUUGUGAUCAUAUACAAAUAUUUACAUUCUAUGGUUACAGAAAAUAAUCAUGUAUGGUUAAUUGCACAAGUAAAAGUGAAAAUGAAAUUUUUUUUCAAAAAAGGUGCUGUUCAAUAGACUACUAAAAUAUACUAUAGCAUAAUAUAUUUAGAUGUAAUUACAUGAACAACAGAUAUUUGGAUAUCAUUUUAGGAAAUACCUUUCACAAACAGACUUGAUAAGACCAAGUUUUUUUUCUGUGCUAUUGUAAGAUACUCGUGUAGAUUGUGUUUACUGUGUUACUCAAUUUUGAAGUCUGGACCAUUGUGCAGUUUUGAUUUAGUUAAACUUUAUGAAUACGAGGUACAUGUACAGGAAUACAUUCCAUUUAGGCUAUCCUUAAGAAGUAGAUGUUUGCUGAGCUCAGACACUUGUACAUGAAGCUAACUUUCUUAUACUGUUGAAAGUUUAUUGUUCUACAAAAUAGCACAUAUUCUGUAAUUCCCUGUUUGAGUCAUAAUUACUGUAAUCCAUUGAAGUAAGGAAUUAACAUUUAAAACAAGACCUGUAUUGUAAGCAUGAGCUAAAAUGUGUCUUCAGUUUGUUAUUUAGCUCUUUUCCCUGAAAUAAAAAAAGUGAGGAAAAUAAAUCUUGUCUCUGAAACUUUGUGUCUUAGUAAAGCAGACAAACAGACUUUUUAAGGAUGGUCUUAUGUUGGUUGUUUAAAGGAUCUGUGCAGAACUUACUUUACAAAAUUACAAAUGUCAUGUAUCACAGUUGAAAAUAAUUUUCUGUUACUGUAUACUUGUGGAGUUGAGCAAGACUGUUGGCUUGAUAAUAUCUUCAUAAGUACUGUUUAUUUGUUAGUUUGUAGAGUGUAAAAUGUUGUUCAUAUUUGUGAAAAUUCUGCUAAAGAUUGAAAGUCACAACAGUGUUACUUAUAUCUGAAAUAUUAAAUUGUCCAGUGUAAACAGCUGUUCAUUGAAUGUGUUCAGUCUGAAAAUGAACAUGAAGAUGAACUGACUGUGCUAUUAUGUUGCUUGGUUGUGUUCUAUGUUUCCAAAGGAUCUUUUCACAGAUUCUGUUAUUUACUAGUACCUUGUGGACAGAAGUGUUUUUGAUUCUUUAUAUUUCCUAACAGUUAAAACUAGAUUGCAAAAUCAGUAUUUAUAUUAUGUUCUAGAUUGAUUUAGGAAUAUGAUAAAAUUGUAUUACACAUACCACUAUUUUAAUGAAAACACAGUUUUGCUGCAGAUUAUUGAUAAGUUUGAACAUCUCUGAUUUAUAUAUACAUGUACAACUUGAUGAAAGGUUGGUGUAAUUUUUUCAAACCCAAAUUAAUCAAGAAUUAAUGUUGACUAUACCAGAUUUACUUAUUUAGAAAAGAUGUAUCCAUUUAAUAAACUGAAAUGCAUCUGGUACUAUCUAGUUAAACAAGUUCAUCAUGGGACAGGCAUUACUGAAGCUCAGAAUUCAGUUAAAUUUUUUCAUUAACAAAUUACAUUUGUUAAGCCAAGCAACACCGUAUAAAUAAGAAAAAAAUGUAGGCCAUCUAGAAAUAUUAAAAGUUCCAGUGGAAUGGUCCAAAAUAUUUAUGCAACAAUUGUGUUGUUGUUGUUUUUCAGACUUUGUUGUUGUACAUAGUUACAUGGUUUUCAACUUAAUAGAAAAUUGUCUAAGUUGAACAUGAAGGUCAGUGAAUUAGACAUUUUUAUGCUCAGCUUUAUGUAUGACUUAAAUAGCACUUGUGUCUAUUGGUCAAUCUGUCAGUCCUGUCUGGCUAUAUAUUUCAAAAGCCUUGCUCAAAGUAGCAUCUAGUGAUAUCAGUCACCUUUCCAUUAUCAGAGCUGCUUUUACGGGUAUCAGUGUCUAUCAGUCAUCUUCCUUGUAUUAAAACAGCAUCUAAUAGGCAUAUUCAUAUUCCCUGUAUGAAGCAGUUUCUAGGAGAGGCUGCUGUGUGUGUGGGGGGGAGGGGUAUCGAUCACCUUUUCUGCAUCAGAGAAGCUUCUAUGGAUGCAAGUCACCUUCCUUUUAUCAAGCAGCCUGUAGGGGUAUCAGUCGCCACCCCUGUAUCAAUACUGCACCUAAGAGUAUUGGUCAUAUUCAAUGAUUGCAAGCCGUUAUUCUUUGAUAUAUAUUCAAAUAACAUGAGAUGUACAUUCACAAAAAGAAGACAGUGUGUCACAUGAAAGACAAACCUAGGAAAAGGUCAAGGUCGCAUUAAAAUGACAAAAAUCGUAAGUAAUUUUUCUUGCGCAGCCUUUAUACAUUUUUAUGCAUAGUUGGAUACUGAAAAAUACUUGGCAUUUCUCCAUAAUCAGACAAUAAAAUAUUUGUGUCUAAUAACAAAUUUCAUACAACUUCAUACCAUUAAAAUGAGGAUAGUUUUUGUUUUCAGUUCACUGCCCCUUAACUGCUAGGGAUUUUUGCAUUUCUUGACAUUCUGCCUUUUCUUGUUUACAGAGCUCUAGUCAGUUAAGUUUGCUUGUUAUUUUGAAAAUGUUUCAUCUAUAAUAAACAUGUUUAGAAGGUCUAUAAUUAUAUUGAACUUGUUUGAUAAUGAGUCUCAACAAAUUGCCUUGCUCAAAUUUCAUCUGCAAAUUGCAUCACUGAAAUUUUAAAUACCUACGUUAAUAGUUAUAAAUUGUCUCAAGUUAGAUGUUUCAAAAGCUGAUUUUAGGCAUCAACCUUAUUCAGUUAUAACCUUUUAGAUAAUGAAAACUUCAGACUGAUUUCCACAUAAAAACCACUUGGAUGAUGGAAGCUUUAAAGAUAGUGGAAGCUUUAAACUCUUCUCUGCACUCAAAUUAGAAAGCAUUUGGGUGAUGUAGCCUUUAAACUUGUUUCUAAUCUCAAACUUAAAUUCAGUUAUAACCUCUUAGAUGACUAAUCUCCAUACCCAAAUUUAUUCAUAACCACUAAGAUGAUGUAGACUGGUUGUCAUGCUUUACUUUUUUACUGGGUACCUACCGGUUGAUCCACCUAUUCUGUAACAGGGUACAUUGUUUCUUUCUGUACAUUGUUGUUAGAUAUGAUAAUUUCUUAUCAUGUUUCUAGAUUAUGUAUCUAUUCAUAUGCAUUUGUCAUUACAUCAGUAUACACUGUAGAUAAAAUUGUAAAUUAUUGUUGUUGUAUUGUAUAUACUGCAGUAUAGUCCUUUCAGUGCUGAGGAAAAAUAAAAAUAUCUGCAAA